UUUUUAUUAAUUUAAUGUGAUUUUAUGUUGUUUAAUGUCCAUCUGUUUCUUGCAGUUCUUCUCUCCAUUUGCUCACUCCUAUGUGACCCAAACCCCGAUGACCCACUAGUGCCAGAGAUCGCACGAAUCUACAAAACAGAUAGUCAGAAGUACAAUAAACUAGCUCAGGAGUGGACAACAAAGUAUGCCAUGCUUUAGGAUACACCAGAACAGCAAAAGAAUGGACAAACAAAUACGCAAUGUGAUGGCAUCGUUUGGAAAGCUGGUGGAAAAUGUCGCUGUUUGGUUCAAACUAAAAAAUUCCGGGAUUUUGUUUUUUCUUUUUCACUUUUUAUUUCUUUUCUUUAUUUUUUUUUUAAAAAUCAGAGCAUUUUACCUCCCCCAUCCCUCCCUCCCUCCUCCCUUUUCCACCUGCCGCGCUCAUAAGAAGAUAGUGUUUUCUCUCUAGGACACGUGCCAGUUUCUGUGAAGUUUCUACUCCUGUUUAUUAUUUUUUUAUGGAGUUUAAAAAAAAAAAAAUCAUCAUGGUUCUGAACACUUGUUUGAGCAUGCACCAGUAAGAGUUAUUUCAACCCAGGAAUUGGUGAUGUUAAUCAUUUUACUCUGCACACACUUGGUAGAAUCUGAUGCGACUGGUCUCCCGACGCCGAACCAUUACAAUCAACCCCACGAUGAUCCAGUCCGUCACACCCCGGCCGGAUCCCGCAGGGUUGAUAACUUACUGGAUUUCUCGAGAGCACUUGUAGAGAAGCCUGUCUUUUGCUAUACUACUAAAUUCAGAAUUUUUAAAAGGUGUCAAAUUGGCAAAAUUCUGGUGCAUUUUAUUUGAAGGUGGUUAAAAAAAGAAUCAAACUAAAGGGGGAGGAAGGGGAGAUGCCAAUUCUCUGAAAGAUUUUGGGGGAAACUGGUUAGUGGCUCCUGUAUCUGCCUCCUGGUCUGAUGGCAGUUACGUUCUUCUGAUCAUUAGUAUAGGAAUCUAUUACCCGAGGAAAAGAAGUGUAUCUUAUUCCACUAUCAAAGUGUGUGUACAGAGAAGCACAGCAGUAUAUAUCAAUGUUAAGGAAACAAAAUAUAAGAACUUCAAUGUUGUAUUUUAUGCAUGUUAAUAAAGGUAGGCUAUUAUAUCUGAUAUGUUUCUGCAGAAAUUAAGUGGAUUGUAAGGUUGGAAGUUGGAAAAAUUUGGUUCCCCUCAAAGGCUUUCUAUUUCUUUUUGUUAUUUAGAAGCCAGUAGAUGAGCUAUUAGUUUUAUGCCCACUCGAACACUGUCUUCUUGUAGCCCUAAAAUAUUGAUGCAAAGCUAAUGGUUGAUAAUCAACUUGUGGCUCUUGUUUCUUUUUACUUUUCCCUUCAAUAAAGUUACUUAAACCAUAAGA